AGUGGGGUGGCGCAGUCCGGUAGCGCGCUAGGCUCAUAACCUAGAGGUCGGGGGUUCGAAUCCCUCUCCCGCAACCA
rnacentral:tRNA from 1 species